rnacentral:rRNA from 1 species
AUUGAACGCUGGCGGCAGGCCUAACACAUGCAAGUCGAGCGGAUGAAGGGAGCUUGCUCCUGGAUUCAGCGGCGGACGGGUGAGUAAUGCCUAGGAAUCUGCCUGGUAGUGGGGGAUAACGUCCGGAAACGGGCGCUAAUACCGCAUACGUCCUGAGGGAGAAAGUGGGGGAUCUUCGGACCUCACGCUAUCAGAUGAGCCUAGGUCGGAUUAGCUAGUUGGUGGGGUAAAGGCCUACCAAGGCGACGAUCCGUAACUGGUCUGAGAGGAUGAUCAGUCACACUGGAACUGAGACGCAGUCCAGACUCCUACGGGAGGCAGCAGUGGGGAAUAUUGGACAAUGGGCGAAAGCCUGAUCCAGCCAUGCCGCGUGUGUGAAGAAGGUCUUCGGAUUGUAAAGCACUUUAAGUUGGGAGGAAGGGCAGUAAGUUAAUACCUUGCUGUUUUGACGUUACCAACAGAAUAAGCACCGGCUAACUUCGUG